UGUGCACAAUCCUAAUCUUCACCCAUCAUCUUGUCAGCUCAUUCUUAUGCUUUUUCCUGAAACACAAGCUGUAUCACAGAAGCAAAGCAAUCAGGGCAAAGGGAUGAGAGCUGUAUGUUGAGGUCCACUGAUUACUGCAGGCUCGCUCGAGGAAGCGACUCAGACUUGAUUUGUUUCAUCUCUGUCAUUUACUUCCUGAACAAACUCUUUCUCUUCCCCUAUUCUCUCUAAUGUUUUCUCUCUCUAAAGUGACUGGUGUGAUUUGCAUCUGUUCCAGUGAAGCCCAGUAAACAGACGAUGCAGCACUGACCCUGGAUUAACAUCUGACUGAAUGAGCCUACUGCAGCCUGUGUGUUGCUCAGAGAAACUGACCUGCUUUCUAGCACCGAAGAGAGACAUACGUCAAAGUAGUCAGGAUGUUAAUUAAAAGUUUUGGAUACGACUGACCGAGCAGAGGAGCACACGUCUGUGUUGAAGAGCGUUUCUCUGUCCUCAAGUACUGCAUUUCAACAGCUUUCUCUGAUGAGCUUCUUCUGUUGUUCUGAUGUCGUGCAGACGCUCUUACACACGGACGAGCGAGCGAGAAAAUGAAGCCCACUCUGGCGGAGAGCAACACCUACUACACAAGUGCAGACUGGAUUUUAUUAACAUUCUGUGCAUUUUAGCAGGAUUAGACGGGCGGCCCAUGAACAAGCAUCGUUUCAGUUCGUUCUGAAUCUCAUCCUACGGAUCAAACUCAAGUGCUGAAUUACUCAUAAGAGCCCGGCGUCAGAUCACAAGCUGUGUUUCUGGCCUACAUGCAACUAGCAUUGACUUGAAAGCAAUGGAGUGUAAAGCAGAUCGUGAUGAACUUUGUUGUGGUGCUAAUGCUAAUGUAUUCCAGAACCUCCCCCUUUCAAACACAUAUUAUACAUUUAACACAACUGUGAGUCUUAUACAGGCAAUAGUAAAAUCCAUCUGUGAAAUAACUAAAUAUCCUGUAUUCAGAGGCGCCCAUGCACAACACCAUUAAUAAUCUUCACUGGUAUAAUGUGCUGUUUUGUUCGUUCUAUUGUCUAAUCUAAAAUUCAAACAUUUGUCAAAAGUUUUACAGAUGCCUCUUUUGUCCUUUGCUAACUUGCAAUUAGUUUGGAGGGAUGACUCUAAUUCCCGUGUAUUCAUCUCAUGACCUGCGUCUCCUGCUCUCAUAUUAUCAGCUGUUUGAGAUGAAGUCAGACUCCCUUUCACAUGCCACUUUCUAUUCUUAUCAAACACCUUUCUUUAUUACAGAAAUAGAUAGUGGAUGGAUGGAUGGAUGGAAAACAAUGAAAUAUGUUUUGGUGCUCGGUGCAAACUGGUUUAAGGACUGUUCACACACAAAGAACUAUUAACAUUCAUAUAACCUUUCCAUCGCAUGAAAGGUUCUUUAUAGUGAAAACGGUUCUUCACAUGAUUUCAUGGAUGGAUCGAUAAGAGUCUAUAACGGUUUGAAGUAUCUGAUAUAUAAAUGCUAAUA